CAGUCGCCGCGGUAAUACGGAGGGUGCAAGCGUUAAUCGGAAUUACUGGGCGUAAAGCGCACGCAGGCGGUCUGACAAGUCAGAUGUGAAAUCCCCGGGCUUAACCUGGGAACUGCAUUUGAAACUGUCAGGCUGGAGUCUUGUAGAGGGGGGUAGAAUUCCAGGUGUAGCGGUGAAAUGCGUAGAGAUCUGGAGGAAUACCGGUGGCGAAGGCGGUCCCCUGGACAAAGACUGACGCUCAGGUGCGAAAGCGUGGGGGGCAAACAGGAUUAGAUACCCGGGUAGUCCCUGUCUCUUAUAC
rnacentral:rRNA from 1 species